ACCGCUGGCGGCGUGCCUAACACAUGCAAGUCGAACGAGAAAGCCGGUAGCAAUACUGGUGAGUAAAGUGGCGUACGGGUGAGUAACACGUGGAUAACCUACCUUCGAGUGGGGAAUAACCCUGGGAAACCGAGGCUAAAACCGCAUGACACCCGGAAACGAUGGUUUCUGGAUUGAAACUCGCAAGAGGCUCAAAGAGGGGUCCGCGGCUGAUUAGCUAGUUGGUGAGGUAACGGCCCACCAAGGCUAUGAUCGGUAGCCGGCCUGAGAGGGCGGACGGCCACACUGGAACUGAAACACGGUCCAGACUCCUACGGGAGGCAGCAGUGGGGAAUUUUGCGCAAUGGGGGAAACCCUGACGCAGCAACGCCGCGUGGACGAUGAAGCAUCUUGGUGUGUAAAGUCCUUUCGGCAGGGACGAAUCCCCCGCAAGGGGGUCGACGGUACCUGAAGAAGAAGCCCCGGCUAACUCCGUGCCAGCAGCCGCGGUAAUACGGGGGGGGCGAGCGUUGUUCGGAAUUAUUGGGCGUAAAGGGAGCGUAGGCGGUGCGGUAAGUCUGUUGUGAAACCUCCAGGCUCAACUUGGAGCUUGCAUCAGAAACUGCCGUGCUAGAGUGUGGGAGAGGAGAGUGGAAUUCCUGGUGUAGCGGUGAAAUGCGUAGAUAUCAGGAGGAACACCGGUGGCGAAGGCGGCUCUCUGGACCACAACUGACGCUGAGGCUCGAAAGCUAGGGGAGCAAACAG
rnacentral:rRNA from 1 species